AGAACGAACGCUGGCGGCAGGCCUAACACAUGCAAGUCGAACGCCUGUAGCAAUACAGGAGUGGCAGACGGGUGAGUAACGCGUGGGAACGUGCCCAAAGGUACGGAACAACUCCGGGAAACUGGAGCUAAUACCGUAUGUGCCCGAAAGGGGAAAGAUUUAUCGCCUUUGGAUCGGCCCGCGUCUGAUUAGCUAGUUGGUGAGGUAAUGGCUCACCAAGGCGACGAUCAGUAGCUGGUCUGAGAGGAUGAUCAGCCACACGUGGGACUGAGACACGGCCCAGACUCCGUACGGGAGCAGCAGUGGGGAAUAUUGGACAAUGGGCG
rnacentral:rRNA from 1 species